rnacentral:rRNA from 1 species
AGCGAACGCUGGCGGCGGCUUAACACAUGCAAGUCGAACGGUCCUUCGGGAUAGUGGCGGACGGGUGAGUAACACGUGGGAACGUACCCUUAGGUUCGGAACAACACAGGGAAACUUGUGCUAAUACCGGAUAAGCCCUUCGGGGGAAAGAUUUAUCGCCUUUGGAGCGGCCCGCGUCUGAUUAGCUUGUUGGUGAGGUAAUGGCUCACCAAGGCUACGAUCAGUAGCUGGUCUGAGAGGAUGGCCAGCCACACUGGGACUGAGACACGGCCCAGACUCCUACGGGAGACAGCAGUGGGGAAUCUUGCGCAAUGGGCGAAAGCCUGACGCAGCCAUGCCGCGUGGAUGAUGAAGGUCUUAGGAUUGUAAAAUCCUUUCACCGGGGACGAUAAUGACGGUACCCGGAGAAGAAGCCCCGGCUAACUUCGUGCCAGCCGCCGCGGUAA